rnacentral:lncRNA from 1 species
GCCAUUGCUCUGUGGGUCCCAAGAUCCGGACUUAGAGGACGCGGGGAGGGCGGGGCGGCGCCCGGCUUCCGGGUAGUGGCAGGUGAGGCCGCGUGGGGCCAGCGGCGGCUCCUUGCUGGUCUGUGGCUCUGGGCCCAAGACCCGAGCCUCCUACAGGGGCGGCCCCCUGCCUGAGGCGCGGGUGGGUUCCGACCUCCGAGAGCCGGUGUGGAAGCACUGAGGGGCCCCUACUUUUGCCCCCGAAGUCAGCGGGGCAACAGCCGCUCCCUUGCAGGAGCCGGGCCGUGGGCGGAGGGCCCCGGUGGGUGAGAUCGGUGACCCCCGAAAACUCCGACCAAAGAGCUGCAGCAAGAAAGGAGUUGGUUCCCACAAACCGCCCAGAGUCAAGGAACUAAAAUCAGUCUGAUGGCAGCUGCACAAGAUGGGAAGGAGUAAUCCUUGAAAUUAGACCAAGGAAGCACGUGAAGUGUGUUUGCUCUCAGCCACCAGCCUCAGAAGAGCUCAAGUCCAGGUAGGGUACAUUUUACCUGAGAUCUACUCUGGGGUGUCUUCCCUUGGUCACAGCCUGCUCCCAGGCACUCCUGGUGAGUUGGGUCUCUUUCCUACAUGUUGUGUAGCAUUAUUGUCCCAUAUUCACAGUGAGCUGUCAGAUUCCCAGGAGCAGAAGCCUGUUUCUGAAGCAUCCAAUCAGUCUAGAAAUAAUAGUCUAGUUAUCUGAUUUUUCACAGCUCUUUGCCUUUUCCUUGCACUGAGGAGUUAGGUAGCUAACUUUAUUCACAUCAAACAGCUAUGGAAGUUAAAGUUAUCUCAGAUUCGGAGCUAUAGACAUUACUUAAGAAGCGCUGUGGUUCUUUAAGUAUAUUCACGUCAUAAGCACUCAGCAAACCAGGUUAUUCAAGAAUCCUCUUAUCUCAGAAAGCUGAUUACAUUAUAUAAAUUAUCAAGGCAUUUAUUUCAAAGAUACUGAGAAAAAUCAGAGCAUUCUUGUCAGGUGUCUGUGGCACUUUGGCACUUGACCCCAACAUUCUUAAACAUCCUCUCAUCAAGAGCAAGAGUGCCCCACACGCUUCUCUGAACCAGGAUGAGCCAGUGACUGCUUUGACCAAUUAAGUAUGAUAGAAAGGUUGCUAUGUGACUUUUCAGGCUGGAUCUGAAAAAGCCAUGCCAGUUUUGCUUUCUUUUCUUUGGAUACUUGCUCUGAGAGAAGUCUGCUGCCACAUAGAGUGUAUCUCCCCUAAGAAAGUCAUGCUGGAAAGGCCUUCUGGUCACAGCCCUGCUCAGCUUCCAGCAACAGCCAGCAUCCACUGCCAGCCAUGUGGACAGGCCAUCUUGGGUGUCCCCAGAUGUGUUGACGACUCAGCUCAGUGGAGCCUUCAGAUUGUUGCAGUCUCCACCAACAUCUGACUGCAACCUCUUGAGAAAUGCCUUGUGACAGCAAAGCAGCCAAGCCCUUCCGUAACUCAUAACCCACAAAAUCAUUUAAAAAGAUCGUUUUUAACAAAUUGGUUUUCGGUUCAUACCACUAAAGUUUUAGGGCAAUUUGUUUUACAGUGCCAUUGGGAAAGAAGUUUCUCCCCUUUGACACACCUCCUCACCAUUCCAGCUGCUCACUUUCACUUCUGAGUGUUUGUGCUGUAGUUGCUUCAGUCCAUAUCUUCUUGGGUUUAUCUUUUCAUACUUUACACAUAUACACACACAGCCACAUAGGCACAGCCACCCACAUAGAAAAUUGAUCACUUGGCUCAGUUCUACUCCCCAGAUGACUUCAUUCAGACCUCAUUUUUCAGCUGGGAAAAAAAAAAAAAAAAAAAAA